GAUGAACGCUAGCGGCAGGCUUAAUACAUGCAAGUCGAGGGACAGCACAGGUAGCAAUACUGGGUGGUAACCGGCAAACGGGUGCGGAACACGUACACAACCUUCCUUUAAGUGGGGGAUAGCCCAGAGAAAUUUGGAUUAAUACCCCGUAAUAUAGUUGAAUGGCAUCAUUUGAUUAUUAUAGCUACGGCGCUUAAUGAUGGGUGUGCGGCUGAUUAGAUAGUUGGCGGGGUAACGGCCCACCAAGUCUACGAUCAGUAGCUGAUGUGAGAGCAUGAUCAGCCAGACGGGCACGGAGACACGGGCCCGACUCCUACGGGAGGCAGCAGUAAGGAAUAUUGGUCAAUGGACGCAAGUCUGAACCAGCCAUGCCGCGUGAAGGAUUAAGGUCCUCUGGAUUGUAAACUUCUUUUAUUUGGGACGAAAAAGGGCCUUUCUAGGUCAACUGACGGUACCAGAUGAAUAAGCACCGGCUAACUCCGUGCCAGCAGCCGCCGUAAUAC
rnacentral:rRNA from 1 species